rnacentral:rRNA from 1 species
AGUGAACGCUGGCGGUAGGCCUAACACAUGCAAGUCGAACGGCAGCACAGGAGAGCUUGCUCUCUGGGUGGCGAGUGGCGGACGGGUGAGGAAUACAUCGGAAUCUACUCUGUCGUGGGGGAUAACGUAGGGAAACUUACGCUAAUACCGCAUACGACCUACGGGUGAAAGCAGGGGACCUUCGGGCCUUGCGCGAUUGAAUGAGCCGAUGUCGGAUUAGCUAGUUGGCGGGGUAAAGGCCCACCAAGGCGACGAUCCGUAGCUGGUCUGAGAGGAUGAUCAGACACACUGGAACUGAGACACGGUCCAGACUCCUACGGGAGGAAGCAGUGGGGAAUAUUGGACAAUGGGCGCAAGCCUGAUCCAGCCAUACCGCGUGGGUGAAGAAGGCCUUCGGGCUGUAAAGCCCUUUUGUUGGGAAAGAAAUCCAGCUGGCUAAUACCCGGUUGGGAUGACGGUACCCAAAGAAUAAGCACCGGCUAACUUCGUGCCAGCCGCCGCCGUAA